UACGGGGGAGCAAGCGUUGUUCGGAUUUACUGGGCGUAAAGGGCGCGUAGGCGGCCAGCACAAGUCAGUUGUGAAAUCUCCGAGCUUAACUCGGAAAGGUCAACUGAUACUGUGCGGCUAGAGUGCGGAAGGGCAACUGGAAUUCUUGGUGUAGCGGUGAAAUGCGUAGAUAUCAAGAGGAACACCUGCGGCGAAGGCGGGUUGCUGGGCCGACACUGACGCUGAGGCGCGAAAGCCAGGGAGCGAACGGG
rnacentral:rRNA from 1 species